UGGGGAAUUUUGGACAAUGGGGGAAACCCUGAUGCAGCGACGCCGCGUGGAGGACGAAGGAUCUAGGUCUGUAAACUCCUUUUUCACGGAAAGACUUAGGACGGUACCGUGAGAAUAAGCCCCGGCUAACUACGUGCCAGCAGCCGCGGUAAGACGUAGGGGGCGAGCGUUGUCCGGAUUUAUUGGGCGUAAAGAGUUCGUAGGCUGUUUGUUAAGUCUGAUGUUAAAGACUGGGGCUCAACCUCGGAAAUGCAUUGGAUACUGGCAGACUGGAGUGCAGUAGAGGCUAGUGGAAUUCCCAGUGUAGCGGUGAAAUGCGUAGAUAUUGGGAAGAACACCGGUGGCGUAGGCGACUAGCUGGGCUGUAACUGACGCUGAGGAACGAAAGCCAGGGGAGCGAAUGGGAUUAGAUACCCCAGUAGUCCCUGAGCGGGCUGGCAAGGCGCAU
rnacentral:rRNA from 1 species